rnacentral:rRNA from 1 species
UCGGAUGAAGACUUUUGUGACUGAGCGGCGGACGGGUGAGUAACGCGUGGGUAACCUGCCUCAUACAGGGGGAUAACAGUUAGAAAUGACUGCUAAUACCGCAUAAGACCACGGUACCGCAUGGUACAGUGGUAAAAACUCCGGUGGUAUGAGAUGGACCCGCGUCUGAUUAGGUAGUUGGUGGGGUAACGGCCUACCAAGCCGACGAUCAGUAGCCGACCUGAGAGGGUGACCGGCCACAUUGGGACUGAGACACGGCCCAGACUCCUACGGGAGGCAGCAGUGGGGAAUAUUGCACAAUGGAGGAAACUCUGAUGCAGCGACGCCGCGUGAAGGAUGAAGUAUUUCGGUAUGUAAACUUCUAUCAGCAGGGAAGAAAAUGACGGUACCUGACUAAGAAGCCCCGGCUAACUACGUGCCAGCAGCCGCGGUAAUACGUAGGGGGCAAGCGUUAUCCGGAUUUACUGGGUGUAAAGGGAGCGUAGACGGCACGGCAAGCCAGAUGUGAAAGCCCGGGGCUCAACCCCGGGACUGCAUUUGGAACUGCUGAGCUAGAGUGUCGGAGAGGCAAGUGGAA